GACGAACCGUGCGAACGUUGUUCGGAAUCACUGGGCUUAAAGGGCGCGUAGGCGGGCUGUCAAGUCCGGGGUGAAAUCCUCCAGCUCAACUGGAGAAUGGCCUCGGAUACUGAUGGUCUCGAGGAGGAUAGGGGCACACGGAACUGUGGGUGGAGCGGUGAAAUGCGUUGAUAUCCACAGGAACUCCGGUGGCGAAAGCGGUGUGCUGGAUCCUUUCUGACGCUGAUGCGCGAAAGCCAGGGGAGACAAAGCGGG
rnacentral:rRNA from 1 species